UUGAAGGCAACAUUGAGAUCUGGUUC
rnacentral:piRNA from 1 species